rnacentral:rRNA from 1 species
AUUGAACGCUGGCGGCAUGCCUUACACAUGCAAGUCGAACGGUAACAGGUCUUCGGAUGCUGACGAGUGGCGAACGGGUGAGUAAUACAUCGGAACGUGCCUAGUAGUGGGGGAUAACUACUCGGAAGAGUGGCUAAUACCGCAUGAGAUCUACGGAUGAAAGCAGGGGAUCGCAAGACCUUGUGCUACUAGAGCGGCCGAUGGCAGAUUAGGUAGUUGGCGGGAUAAAAGCUUACCAAGCCGACGAUCUGUAGCUGGUCUGAGAGGACGAUCAGCCACACUGGGACUGAGACACGGCCCAGACUCCUACGGGAGGCAGCAGUGGGGAAUUUUGGACAAUGGGCGCAAGCCUGAUCCAGCAAGGCCGCGUGCAGGAUGAAGGCCUUCGGGUUGUAAACUGCUUUUGUACGGAACGAAAAGCCCCGGGUUAAUACCCUGGGGUCAUGACGGUACCGUAAGAAUAAGCACCGGCUAACUACGUGCCAGCCGCCGCAGUAA